UACGUAGGGGGCUAGCGUUGUCCGGAAUCAUUGGGCGUAAAGAGCGUGUAGGCUGCUCGGUAAGUCCGCUGUAAAAGUCAAAGGCUCAACCUUUGAAUGUCAGUGGAUACUGCCGGGCUAGAGUCCGGAAGAGGCGAGUGGAACUCCUGGUGUAGCGGUGGAAUGCGCAGAUAUCGGGAGGAACACCAGAGGCGAAGGCGGCUUUCUGGCCUGUAACUGACGCUGAGGCGCGAAGGCUGGGGUAGCGAACAGG
rnacentral:rRNA from 1 species